rnacentral:rRNA from 1 species
UACGUAGGGUGCAAGCGUUGUCCGGAAUUAUUGGGCGUAAAGAGCUCGUAGGCGGUCUGUCGCGUCGGGAGUGAAAACCAGGUGCUUAACACCUGGCUUGCUUUCGAUACGGGCAGACUAGAGGUAUUCAGGGGAGAACGGAAUUCCUGGUGUAGCGGUGAAAUGCGCAGAUAUCAGGAGGAACACCGGUGGCGAAGGCGGUUCUCUGGGAAUAUCCUGACGCUGAGGAGCGAAAGUGUGGGGAGCGAACAGG